rfam:Hyphomonas neptunium ATCC 15444, complete genome.
AGCGUAUUUUGCUCAGGCGGAGCUCGACCGCCGACCGAAGACAUGAUCGCGUUCAUUGACGACCAUCGCGAUGUUUAUGGGGUCGAGCCGAUCUGCAGGGUAUUGCCGAUUGCCCCA